rnacentral:rRNA from 1 species
UACGGAGGGGGCUAGCGUUGUUCGGAAUUACUGGGCGUAAAGCGCACGUAGGCGGCUUUGUAAGUUAGAGGUGAAAGCCCAGGGCUUAACCCUGGAAUUGCCUUUAGACUGCAUCGCUAGAAUUGUGGAGAGGUAAGUGGAAUUCCGAGUGUAGAGGUGAAAUUCGUAGAUAUUCGGAAGAACACCAGUGGCGAAGGCGACUUACUGGACACAUAUUGACGCUGAGGUGCGAAAGCGUGGGGAGCAAACAGG